rnacentral:rRNA from 1 species
ACCAGACUCCUACGGGAGGCAGCAGUGGGGGAUAUUGCACAAUGGGGGGAACCCUGAUGCAGCGACGCCGCGUGGGUGAAGAAGUAUUUCGGUAUGUAAAGCCCUAUCGGCAGGGAAGAAAGAAAUGACGGUACCUGACUAAGAAGCCCCGGCUAACUACGUGCCAGCAGCCGCGGGAAUACGUAGGGGGCAAGCGUUAUCCGGAUUCACUGGGUGUAAAGGGAGCGUAGACGGCGACGCAAGUCUGGAGUGAAAGCCCGGGGCCCAACCCCGGGACUGCUCUGGAAACUGCGUCGCUGGAGUACGGGAGGGGCAGGCGGAAUUCCUGGUGUAGCGGUGAAAUGCGUAGAUAUCAGGAGGAACACCGGCGGCGAAGGCGGCCUGCUGGACCGUGACUGACGUUGAGGCUCGAGAGCGUGGGGAGCAAACAGGAUUAGAUACCCGCGUACC